UACAGAGGGUGCGAGCGUUGUUCGGAAUUAUUGGGCGUAAAGGGCGCGUAGGCGGUGCGGUAAGUCACCUGUGAAAUCUCCUGGCUCAACUGGGAGCUUGCAGGCGAAACUGCCGUGCUGGAGUGUGGGAGAGGUGCGUGGAAUUCCUGGUGUAGCGGUGAAAUGCGUAGAUAUCGGGAGGAACACCUGUGGCGAAAGCGGCUCACUGGACCGCAACUGACGCUGAGGCGCGAAAGCUAGGGGAGCAAACAGG
rnacentral:rRNA from 1 species